GUUCCGUAGGUGAACCUGCGGAAGGAUCAUUAUUGUAUAACCGAGGUGCGAGGGCUGUCGCUGACCCGAAAGGUCGUGCACGCCCGAGUGCCCUCACACACAUCCAUCUCACCCCUGUGUGCACCACCGCGUGGGUCCCCCUUUGGCUUGUUCGGAGGGGGGCUUACGUUUUCACACAAACUUUGUAUGCAGUGUAGAAUGUAUUUUUUGUUUUUGCGAUCACGCAAUCAAUACAACUUUCAACAACGGAUCUCUUGGCUCUC
rnacentral:misc_RNA from 1 species